rnacentral:rRNA from 1 species
UGUAAGCGUAUACCAAAGUUGUUGCAGUUAAAACGCUCGUAGUCGGAAUUUGGCAGUUCCGGAUGUGUGCACGUCGUGUGCGCACUUCGCGGGGAUUGCUUUUGUGGUCUUGCGUAGGAUGAGGCACUUUUAUUAGUGAACGUCCUCACGCAACCACUUUUUACUGUGAGAAAAUCAGAGUGCUCAAAGCAGGCAUUUGCCGUGAAUGUAUUAGCAUGGAAUAAUAGAAUAGGACUUGGUUCUAUUCUGUUGGUUUGUUGGGACUGAGUAAUGAUUAAGAGGGACAGUUGGGGGCAUUUGUAUUUCGGUGCUAGAGGUGAAAUUCUUAGAUUACCGAAAGACAAACUGCUGCGAAAGCGUCUGCCAAGGAUGUUUUCAUUGA